rnacentral:rRNA from 1 species
CGAAGGGAGCAAGCGUUAUUCGGAAUCACUGGGCGUAAAGGGCGUGUAGGCGGUUGAUUAAGUCAGUUGUUAAAUUCCUCAGCCUAACUGAGGCACAGCGAUUGAAACUGAUCAGCUAGAGUGCAGAAGAGAGAAGUGGAAUUAUCGGAGUAGCGGUAAAAUGCGUAGAUCUCGAUAGGAACACCGAUGGCGAAGGCAGCUUCUUGGUCUGUUACUGACGCUAAAAUGCGAAAGCGUGGGGAGCAAACAGGAUUAGAUACCCUGGUAGUCCACGCCGUAAACGAUGAUCACUGGACGUGGGUUUUGCAUUGCAAAAUCCGUGUCGUAGCUAACGCGUUAAGUGAUCCGCCUGGGAAGUACGGUCGCAAGAUUAA